GAUGAACGCUGGCGGCGUGCCUAAUACAUGCAAGUCGAGCGAACAGACGAGGAGCUUGCUCCUCUGACGUUAGCGGCGGACGGGUGAGUAACACGUGGAUAACCUACCUAUAAGACUGGGAUAACUUCGGGAAACCGGAGCUACUACCGGAUAAUAUAUUGAACCGCAUGGUUCAAUAGUGAAAGACGGUUUUGCUGUCACUUAUAGAUGGAUCCGCGCCGCAUUAGCUAGUUGGUAAGGUAACGGCUUACCAAGGCAACGAUGCGUAGCCGACCUGAGAGGGUGAUCGGCCACACUGGAACUGAGACACGGUCCAGACGCCUACGGGAGGAAGCAGUAGGGAAUCUUCCGCAAUGGGCGAAAGCCUGACGGAGCAACGCCGCGUGAGUGAUGAAGGUCUUCGGAUCGUAAAACUCUGUUAUUAGGGAAGAACAAAUGUGUAAGUAACUAUGCACGUCUUGACGGUACCUAAUCAGAAAGCCACGGCUAACUACGUG
rnacentral:rRNA from 1 species